rnacentral:rRNA from 1 species
CAGUAGCCGCGGGAAUACGGAGGGUGCGAGCGUUAAUCGGAAUAACUGGGCGUAAAGGGCACGCAGGCGGUGACUUAAGUGAGGUGUGAAAGCCCCGGGCUUAACCUGGGAAUUGCAUUUCAUACUGGGUCGCUAGAGUACUUUAGGGAGGGGUAGAAUUCCACGUGUAGCGGUGAAAUGCGUAGAGAUGUGGAGGAAUACCGAAGGCGAAGGCAGCCCCUUGGGAAUGUACUGACGCUCAUGUGCGAAAGCGUGGGGAGCAAACAGGAUUAGAUACCCGUGUAGUCCCUGUCUCUUAUAA